AAGGCACUCCCUCCGUUCAGAAUUACUUGUCGCGAAAAUGGAUGUAUCUAGACUAUUUUAGUUCUAGAUACAUCCAUUUUUGAGACAAGUAAUUCCGAACGGAGGGAGUAAAAG
rnacentral:pre_miRNA from 1 species